rnacentral:rRNA from 1 species
AGCGAACGCUGGCGGCAGGCCUAACACAUGCAAGUCGAACGAAGUCUUCGGACUUAGUGGCGGACGGGUGAGUAACACGUGGGGACGUGCCUUUAGGUUCGGAAUAACUCAGGGAAACUUGUGCUAAUACCGAAUGUGCCCUUCGGGGGAAAGAUUUAUCGCCUUUAGAGCGGCCCGCGUCUGAUUAGCUAGUUGGUGAGGUAAUGGCUCACCAAGGCUACGAUCAGUAGCUGGUCUGAGAGGAUGACCAGCCACAUUGGGACUGAGACACGGCCCAAACUCCUACGGGAGGCAGCAGUGGGGAAUCUUGCGCAAUGGGCGAAAGCCUGACGCAGCCAUGCCGCGUGGAUGAUGAAGGUCUUAGGAUUGUAAAAUCCUUUCACCGGUGAAGAUAAUGACUGUAGCCGGAGAAGAAGCCCCGGCUAACUUCGUGCCAGCAGCCGCCGUAACAC